rnacentral:rRNA from 1 species
CCUACGGGGGGCAGCAGUGGGGAAUAUUGCACAAUGGGGGAAACCCUGAUGCAGCAACGCCGCGUGAAGGAAGAAGGCUUUCGGGUUGUAAACUUCUUUUGACAGGGAAGAGCAGAAGACGGUACCUGUCGAAUAAGCCACGGCUAACUACGUGCCAGCAGCCGCGGUAAUACGUAGGUGGCAAGCGUUGUCCGGAUUUACUGGGGGGAAAGGGCGGGUAGCCGGGCUGACAAGUCAGAUGUGAAAUCCGGGGGCUCAACCCCCGAACUGCAUUUGAAACUGGUGGGCUUGAGUAUCGGAGAGGCAGGCAGAAUUCCUAGUGUAGCGGUGAAAUGCGUAGAUAUUAGGAGGAACACCAGUGGCGAAGGCGGCCUGCUGGACGACAACUGACGGUGAGGUGCGAAAGCGUGGGGAGCAAACAGGAUUAGAUACCCCAGUAGUC